rnacentral:rRNA from 1 species
GACGAACGCUGGCGGCGUGCCUAAUACAUGCAAGUAGAACGCACAGUUUAUACCGUAGCUUGCUACACCAUAGACUGUGAGUUGCGAACGGGUGAGUAACGCGUAGGUAACCUGCCUGGUAGCGGGGGAUAACUAUUGGAAACGAUAGCUAAUACCGCAUAAUAUUAAUUAUUGCAUGAUAAUUAAUUGAACGGUGCAAUUGCACCACUACCAGAUGGACCUGCGUUGUAUUAGCUAGUAGGUGAGGUAACGGCUCACCUAGGCGACGAUACAUAGCCGACCUGAGAGGGUGAUCGGCCACACUGGGACUGAGACACGGCCCAGACUCCUACGAGAGGCAGCAGUAGGGAAUCUUCGGCAAUGGACGAAAGUCUGACCGAGCAACGCCGAGUGAGUGAAGAAGGGUUUCGGAUCGUAAAGCUCUGUUGUAAGAGAAGAACGGGUGUGAGAGUGGAAAGUUCACACUGUGACGGUAUCUUACCAGAAAGGGACGGCUAACUACGUG